GAUGAACGCUAGCUACAGGCUUAACACAUGCAAGUCGCGGGGCAGCAUGGGGGUUGCUUGCAAUCCCCGAUGGCGACCGGCGCACGGGUGAGUAACGCGUAUCCAACCUGCCCUUCACCACGGGAUAACCCGGCGAAAGUCGGACUAAUACCGUAUGUUGUCCAUUGACGGCAUCCGAUUUGGACGAAAGGCUUGGCGGUGAGGGAUGGGGAUGCGUCCGAUUAGCCAGACGGCGGGGUAACGGCCCACCGUGGCUACGAUCGGUAGGGGCUCUGAGAGGAAGGUCCCCCACACUGGAACUGAGACACGGUCCAGACUCCUACGGGAGGCAGCAGUGAGGAAUAUUGGUCAAUGGGCGUAAGCCUGAACCAGCCAAGUAGCGUGCAGGAUGACGGCCCUAUGGGUUGUAAACUGCUUUUAUGCGGGGAUAAAGUGGCCCACGUGUGGGCUUUUGCAGGUACCGCAUGAAUAAGGACCGGCUAAUUCCGUG
rnacentral:rRNA from 1 species